rnacentral:rRNA from 1 species
UGGGGAAUCUUGCGCAAUGGUCUAACGACUGACGCAGCGACGCCGCGUGUGGGAGGACGCCUUUCGGGGUGUAAACCACUGUUGCCCGGGACGAACUCGCGUAUUCGUACGCGUUGACGGUACCGGGUGAGGAAGCACCGGCUAACUCCGUGCCAGCAGCCGCGGUAAUACGGAGGGUGCGAGCGUUGUCCGGAAUCAUUGGGCGUAAAGGGCGCGUAGGUGGCCCGGUCAGUCCGUGGUGAAAGCGCGGGGCUCAACCCUGCGUCGGCCAUGGAUACUGCCGCGGCUCGAGCACUGUAGAGGCAGGCGGAAUUCCGGGUGUAGCGGUGGAAUGCGUAGAGAUCCGGAAGAACACCGGUGGCGAAGGCGGCCUGCUGGGCAGUUAGCUGACACUGAGGCGCGACAGCGUGGGGAGCAAACAGG